rnacentral:rRNA from 1 species
UACAGAGGGUGCAAGCGUUAAUCGGAAUUACUGGGCGUAAAGCGUGCGUAGACGGUUAUGUAAGUCAGAUGUGAAAGCCCCGGGCUUAACCUGGGAAUGGCAUUUGAGACUGCAUAGCUAGGGUGCGGAAGAGGGAAGCGGAAUUUCCGGUGUAGCGGUGAAAUGCGUAGAUAUCGGAAGGAACACCAGUGGCGAAAGCGGCUCCCUGGUCCAGCACCGACGUUCAGGCACGAAAGCGUGGGGAGCAAACAGG